rnacentral:lncRNA from 1 species
GUCCGGUGCCUGGUCUGGGACAGUGCAAAGACUCAAGCUACUGACUGGAGCACCUACAGAAAUCGACUGGAUUUCAUGGAAUUUGAAGUCAAUUGAAAGACAAUCUGUUGGAAUCAUUUCUUGAGUUCAAAGCAUUCAGAGAAAAAGUGUUUGCUCAGCUACGGCGAUGGAGAAAUGGAAGGCAGCUAGAGUGAUAUGUCACGCUUGGUUAUGUGCUGCCCCGAUGUCAGUUCGGAGUAAAAGCUGAACUUUGUUGUUGAAAGCCUCCGUGGAAAGUGGAAACAUUGAUUGGGGAUUGCUGAGUGGCAGCGUAUUAUUUACUGAUCCAGAAAUAGAAGCAUCCUUGCCCCAGUGGGUUGGGGAAAUAGCAUCAAUCCUUACUGUUGCAAUAGAGCCCUGUUGCCUUCUUUUUUUAAUUUUGAAAGAGUAAAUAUUUAAAUAGGUAAUAAGAAAAGUUAUUGCCCGUUUUCCUCCGUAGGCCAUAGCUGGGAAUUAAAAGAGAGAGUCAGGCAGAACUCAAAGGUAGAGAAAAAAUCCAUUCUAGAAAUCACAUGUAAUCCUUUUACAGCAAGGGCAUUGGAAUUCUUGAUUUUCAAUUGGCCACAUUGAGCAAACUUUUCUCUGAAAAGCCAUUUUCAGAGGAAAAAAAUUAUGAAUUUUCUUAAACCCUGUGAUUAGAGUGUAAUACGUAUUUAUGGUCCCCCCAGGCGCCACACAAUAAAAAUGGUUAAAACCUUUAGUCCUUUUAGUAGUUCACAGUUUUAUUGCCAAAGUUAUUUUGUAGAUUUUAUGCUUAAAGCAAGGUCAGUGUAUUGCACUGUAUAAAUUAUUCUAAGUAAUUGCUCAGUUAUUUUAUAGCUUAGUCACAGGAUUUUUUCAUUAUUAAACGUAGCCUUUCCUUUAAAGUUAGGAUGAGAAGGGCAAUAUAAAUCACAGAGCAGCUUGCCAUUGGGGGUUUCAGCUUUACCUGUGAUAAGGGUUUAAUAACAAUCCGGCCCAGACACCACCAGUUCCCUCUCGAUUACCUUUCCACAUGGGCAUUAGUUCACACUGUUUAUUAAAAACUCCCCUUGUAGUUUUUAAAGGGAGUGUUUCAGAUUAAUGGCCC